rnacentral:lncRNA from 1 species
CUCUUCGCGAUUAGUCGAUUCUGCCAAAUUGACCUCUCAGCGGACUUUUCACGAUUCCCGAAGAUCCGUCCGUCGGAUUUCCGAACGAAUUACGCCAGCGCAUUGAGCACGACUGGGGCAUCGAAUCUAGCAUUUUAUUUCGUCUGAUUUGGUCUCUGAUCAGCGACGAAACCUGCCCUCUCUUUUUUCACCAUAUAAUCACUUAUAUUAAUACGUGUAAUUUCAAUCAAACCCCUUUUUUCUCGAUAACCGUGCAUCAGAACCCAAUUCCGUC